rfam:Camelus ferus unplaced genomic scaffold scaffold64113, whole genome shotgun sequence.
GUGGGAAUAGCUCAGUGCUAGAGUGUAUGCUUAGCAUGGACAAGGUCCUGGGUUCAAUCCCCAGUACCUCCA